rnacentral:rRNA from 1 species
UACGUAGGGACCAAGCGUUGUUCGGAUUUACUGGGCGUAAAGGGCGCGUAGGCGGCGUGGUAAGUCAGCUGUGAAAUCUCCGAGCUUAACUCGGAACGGUCAGCUGAUACUGCUGUGCUAGAGUACAGAAAGGGCAAUCGGAAUUCUUGGUGUAGCGGUGAAAUGCGUAGAUAUCAAGAGGAACACCUGAGGCGAAGGCGGGGUUGCUAGGCUGAUACUGACGCUGAGUGCGCGAAAGCUAGGGGAGCGAACAGG